rnacentral:lncRNA from 1 species
AGGGAUAUCUUUGCAUUUAACAUGAAAAAUGUACACCUGUGCAUUGUCAACAAGGUUAUGCUUUUGUUGGCUAUCUAGACCUCAAUGAUUUAUCUGUCAUUAAUGCCACUGGUCACUGGCCCAUGUUUCCAGUAGCAAGAUUGAAAAGAGGAAGACGUAUGUUACUGGGGGGUCUCUAAUCCCUCACCUGGACUAUUCUAAGCAAGAAAAGGUUAAAUGACUUGUGCACUGGGAAGAAAAAAAAAAAAAACAGUUGUCAUCCGUGGUGCCAAAAAUAGAAGUUCUGAUUUCCAGUCCUGUGAUCUCAACAGAAGACAGAAUGUUCACUCUAUCUGACUGAUACAAAAUACAACUUCUCCAAGGACUCUAUUAUUUUGAACUACUGUAAAAUUGAAUAAAACAAGUGUGUCUGGAGUUU